CGGGACACGUGGUAUCCUGUCUGAAUAUGGGGGGACCAUCCUCCAAGGCUAAAUACUCCUGACUGACCGAUAGUGAACCAGUACCGUGAGGGAAAGGCGAAAAGAACCCCGGCGAGGGGAGUGAAAAAGAACCUGAAACCGUGUACGUACAAGCAGUGGGAGCACGCUUCGGCGUGUGACUGCGUACCUUUUGUAUAAUGGGUCAGCGACUUAUAUUCUGUAGCAAGGUUAACCGAAUAGGGGAGCCGAAGGGAAACCGAGUCUUAACUGGGCGUUAAGUUGCAGGGUAUAGACCCGAAACCCGGUGAUCUAGCCAUGGGCAGGUUGAAGGUUGGGUAACACUAACUGGAGGACCGAACCGACUAAUGUUGAAAAAUUAGCGGAUGACUUGUGGCUGGGGGUGAAAGGCCAAUCAAACCGGGAGAUAGCUGGUUCUCCCCGAAAGCUAUUUAGGUAGCGCCUCGUGAAUUCAUCUCCGGGGGUAGAGCACUGUUUCGGCAAGGGGGUCAUCCCGACUUACCAACCCGAUGCAAACUGCGAAUACCGGAGAAUGUUAUCACGGGAGACACACGGCGGGUGCUAACGUCCGUCGUGAAGAGGGAAACAACCCAGACCGCCAGCUAAGGUCCCAAAGUCAUGGUUAAGUGGGAAACGAUGUGGGAAGGCCCAGACAGCCAGGAUGUUGGCUUAGAAGCAGCCAUCAUUUAAAGAAAGCGUAAUAGCUCACUGGUCGAGUCGGCCUGCGCGGAAGAUGUAACGGGGCUAAACCAUG
rnacentral:rRNA from 1 species